rnacentral:rRNA from 1 species
AUGUCAAGAACAGGUAAGGUUCUUCGCGUNGCAUCGAAUUAAACCACAUGCUCCACAGAUUGUGAGGGCCCCCGUCAAUUCAUUUGAGUUUUAACCUUGCGGCCGUACUCCCCAGGCGGUCUACUUAUUGCGUUAGCUGCGUCACUAAGUCCUCAAGGGACCCAACGACUAGUAGACAUCGUUUACGGCGUGGACUACCAGGGUAUCUAAUCCUGUUUGCUACCCACGCUUUCGAGCCUCAGUGUCAGUAUUAUGCCAGAAGGCUGCCUUCGCCAUCGGUAUUCCUCCAGAUCUCUACGCAUUUCACCGCUACACCUGGAAUUCUACCUUCCUCUCACAUACUCUAGCUCAACAGUAUCAGAUGCAGUUCCCAGGUUGAGCCCGGGGAUUUCACAUCUGACUUAUCGAGCCACCUACGCUCCCUUUACGCCCAGUAAUUCCGAUUAACGCUUGCACCCUCUGUAUUACCGCGGCUGCUGGCACAGAGUUAGC